GGGGGAGAGAGAUAGACAGAGAGACACACAGAGAGAGACACAAAGAGAGAGAGAGACAGAGAGAGGGGGGGAGAGAGAUAGACAGAGAGAGACACAGAGAGAGAGAGAGACAGAGAUGACUCUAAUGGACAUGUAAACGCACGGUGGCUCUGAUGAAUAACGUUAACAUUAACACACAGGACCGGAGUCCAGACUUUGUUCUCAUGCGUUUGGUGUCUGCAGCUGAGUAUGAUGACCUGGAACCGGACGGUGAGGACGUGCUGAACCCGGAGAAGAGCAUCAGCUUAACCCCAGGUGGAGGAGGCAGAGAGGAGCCCAACUACAGCACAGACAGACAGACAUGUCAGUGGAUCCCUGUACUUAGGCUUAGUAACGGUGAGGAACCUCAGGAAGGACUCUGUCACAGACACACACACAUAAAGGACCACUCUAUAGGAGACAAACCGGGCCACAUCACUCCCACUCCCGGGACUGGGACCUCCACCUCCGAUCCUGUCCUGAACCUGGCUCGGCAGCUGGGCGAGAUCGGACCGAGCUCGGACACCACGCAAAAGGACGAAAGAGAUGUGUCUGUGUGCUCCUGUCAGCCCGGAGAGGACCCGAGUGAGACCAGCGAUGCCCUGUUGGUGUUGGAGGGUUUGGGUACGAACACAGUAGGACACAAGGAGGCGAAAGAGCAGUCGAGUUUUGCUCAGACUCUAAGCGACUCCGCGUCUCUGAGUGGUCUGAUGCGUCAGCUGACCUCUGACCCCAGCUGUCAGGAUGCCGCCACCCCCUGUGCUCCUUCGAGUCGCCCACCCACUCCAAAACACGUGGGCUCGGCUCUGCAGCUCUCCGCCUGUGGCAGUAGGGCGAGCGAGAGAGGGAAGUCCAGGAAGGGGUCGCUCAAGGUGUGUUUGAGUAAACUGUUCCGCACUAAAAGCACAGGCAGCCCUGACGGAGGUCACAUGACCAACAAGAGACCAUCGCUCGCUUCAUCUACUUCAUCUGGAGGAAGCCUUGUCGAUGUGUUCGGCCAGAGUCUCGACACCACCAGGUCUCAGAUGGUCAGUCCUCACAGUGCCUCCUUUUCUCCUGUUCCCUUCACUGGUGAGACUGUGUCUCUUGUAGAUGUGGACUUUUCUCGAAGGAGUGUCAACUCUCUUCAUCCCCCCACUCCUCCUCCUCCACCAAGGAGAAGUCUCAGCUUGCUCGAUGAUUUUGCAGUGCCCCAGCCUGGACGGUUACUCUCCUCAGCCCAAUCACUACAGCCUACACACACACACUCACACACACAGAUUCACCACAGCCUGAGUCUGAAUGAUACGACUCUCCGCAGUGUUCCGCCCAGGCCACGCCCCAUCCAGAACAACAACCCCCUCAGUGGGCAGCUGCAGCGGCGGUCCCUGUUGUGUCCUCUGACCAGCAGCUUCGCCACAAGCCUCCGAGAGCUGGAGAAGUGUGGGUGGUACUGGGGACCGAUGAACUGGGAGGAUGCAGAAAUGAAGCUUAAGGGAAAGGCGGACGGCUCGUUCCUGGUGCGAGACAGCUCAGACCCAAGAUACAUCCUCAGCCUGAGCUUCAGAUCGCAGGGCGUCACACACCACACCCGUAUGGAGCACUACAGAGGGACAUUCAGUCUUUGGUGUCACCCUAAAUUUGAGGAUCGUUGUCACUCAGUGGUGGAGUUUAUUGAGCGAGCCAUCAUGCACUCUAAAAAUGGACGAUUCCUGUACUUCCUGCGCUCACGAGUUCCAGGUCUUCCCCCCACCCCGGUGCAGCUCCUGUACCCAGUGUCUCGGUUCAGCAGUGUGAAGUCUCUGCAGCACCUCUGUCGCUUCUGCAUCAGACAACUCGUCCGCAUAGACCAUAUACAGGAGCUCCCACUGCCCACACCUGUGAUCGGGUAUCUACGGAAAUUCUAUUUCUAUGAUCCAGAAGAGGAGAAGAAUCUGUCAAUCAGAGAAUCAGGGCGGGACACCAGCGCACAGGAGACGGACUCUCAGACGUAGCAAGAACAGAAAAUGGAUAGAGUCUUUAUUUUUAUUUGGAUUACACACAGACUGCUGAGACCAAACCUGGUGGAGAUGAACGACAGACAGACUACUGAUCCCUUUUUUCUUUGUAUACACUGAAGGACCUAAUCACUGCUUCUGGAGGUGUUUUGAUUGUAGUGGAGUUUCUAACAAUGAUCCUCCCUCCAGGAGGGAAGGGGAAGUGGAAACCUGCAGCUGAUACAGGAUCAGAUGUUAAUGUGAAGAUGUUCUGAUGCACUGAUGAGCGUUCACAUGGUGACAUGUGGAACUGGGACAAACUGGACAUAUUUCUGCUCACAUACCAGGAUCUACUCAUACUUGUGUUCUUUCAUGGCCACAUCAGACUGUCACACAGACAUUUACACAUCAUCUGUUUUGGACCAUAUCAACACGUUCCUGGACACUACCGUCAAACACCAUUUCACUACCGUCAAACACGUCAAAUUCUUUCCUAAUCAGAAGCUGUGGAUGAACUCUGAAGUCCGUCUCCUGUUGAAAGCAAGAGAUGCUGCUUUUAAAUCUGGCAACGCAGAGGACUACAACAGAGCCAGGGCCAACCUGAAAAGAGGCAUCAGGAGCCAAACAUACAAAAUCCACAUAGAAGAGCACUUCCACAACUCUGACCACAGACGAAUGUGAAACGGCAUCCAGACCGUCACAGACUACAAACCAACACCUCGACUUCCUACCAGACGAACUCGAUCACUUUUUUGCUCAUUUUGAUCAAGACUUGGGACAUUUCACCUCAACCGCUGACUCUUCUACUGCUCACAGUUCACUUUCACUCUUAACAACGGACAUCUAUUCAGAGUUUAGCAGAGUGGAUGCAGGCAAGGCAGCUGGUCCAGACGGCAUACCGGGAUGUGUUCUCAGAGCAUGCGCUGGACAACUGGCACAGGUUUUCACUGACAUUUUCAACCGGUCAUUGACCCAAGCCACGGUUCCUACAUGCCUGAAGACUACAACCAUCAUACCAGUGCCUAAGCACUCAGUUACCGAAUGUCUGAAUGACUUUUGCCCAGUUGCACUCACCGCUAUUGUCAUGAAGUGCUUUGAGAAACUGGUCCUGUAUCACCUCACUGCAGGCCUACCACCAGUGCUGUUCAUUGACUUUAGCUCUGCGUUCAAUACAGUCCUCCCACUGUACUGAGCUCACUAAGCUCAGUGACCUCUGUAUCUGAACCUGCGCUUGCAGAUGGAUUCUGUACUUUCUCACCAACAGACCUCAAUCUGUUAGGUUGGGCAAACAGGUAUCCUUAACCCUCAUUCUGAACACUGGCAUUCCACAGGGCUGUGUUCUGAGCCCACUACUCAACUCCCUGUUCAUCCACAACUGUGCUCCUCUGCAUAACUCUAACAUCUUGAUGAAGUACGCAGAUGACACCACCGUUGUCGGCCAGAUUAAAAACAACGACGAAUCGGCCUACAGGGAAGAGAUCUGAAGCCUGACAGCGUGGUGUGCCAUCAACAACCUGACCUUCAACACCACGAAGACUAAAGAGCUCAUCAUGGACUUUCAGAAAUCUAACAGCAGGAGACAUUCCCCAGUCUACAUCAAUGGAACUGAGGUAGAGCGGGUCUCCAGCUUUAAGUUCUUGGGAGUUCACAGCUCUGAGGAUCGGUCCUGUCACCAGAACACUUCAGCUCUGGUUAGGCACAACAACUCCUGUACGUCUUGAGGAGCCUUAAGAAAGCUCAUCUGUCCCCAGGGAUUUUAACUUUUUUCUACGGCUGCAUCAUCGAGAACAUCCUGACCAACUCCAUCACUGUGUGGUGCAGAGGCUCCACUGUGUGUGAACGUAAAGCCCAGAAAAGGGGGGUCAAAAUCGCCCAACGCAUUACUGGCAGGUUCAGGGACAGCUUUUUUCCAUCCACCAUCACACUACUGAACUCUACACUACACCGUUAGAACACUGUAAAAAUACAGUAUAUAACUUCUGUACAAUUAAACAUACAAUGUACAUAUUACAUAUUGUAUUUUUUAUCCUCAUUCUCUACACAUAUUGUGAUUCUACAUACAUCUGCACUAUUUUAUUUGUGUCUCUAUAUAUAACUUAUUGUACAUUCUGCCUUUUAUAUAUACAGUAUAAAUCAAAUCACAUUUUAUCU